rnacentral:rRNA from 1 species
AACCCCGGGAGGGGAGUGAAAUAGAUCCUGAAACCGUGUGCAUACAAACAGUAGGAGCCUCGUAAGGGGUGACUGCGUACCUUUUGUAUAAUGGGUCAGCGACUUACAUUCAGUGGCGAGGUUAACCAUAUAGGGGAGCCGUAGAGAAAUCGAGUCCGAACAGGGCGCCAGUCGCUGGGUGUAGACCCGAAACCAAGUGAUCUAUCCAUGGCCAGGUUGAAGGUGCGGUAACACGCACUGGAGGACCGAACCCACU